rnacentral:rRNA from 1 species
AGCGAACGCUGGCGGCAGGCUUAACACAUGCAAGUCGAGCGGGCGUAGCAAUACGUCCGCGGCAGACGGGUGAGUAACGCGUGGGAACGUACCUUUUGGUUCGGAACAACACAGGGAAACUUGUGCUAAUACCGGAUAAGCCCUUACGGGGAAAGAUUUAUCGCCGAAAGAUCGGCCCGCGUCUGAUUAGCUAGUUGGUGAGGUAACGGCUCACCAAGGCGACGAUCAGUAGCUGGUCUGAGAGGAUGAUCAGCCACAUUGGGACUGAGACACGGCCCAAACUCCUACGGGAGGCAGCAGUGGGGAAUAUUGGAAAAUGGGGGCAACCCUGAUCCAGCCAUGCCGCGUGAGUGAUGAAGGCCCUAGGGUUGUAAAGCUCUUUUGUGCGGGAAGAUAAUGACGGUACCGCAAGAAUAAGCCCCGGCUAACUUCGU